rnacentral:rRNA from 1 species
ACUCACGCGGGAAUCUUACCGGGUCCGGACACACUGAGGAUUGACAGACAAAUAUGGAAAUUUUAUAUUUCUCAUAUAUAAAGAUGCUAGUUCUUUCAUGAUUAUGUGAUAGGUGGUGCAUGGCCGUUCUUAGUUCGUGGAGUGAUCUGUCUGCUUAAUUGCGUUUCAAUUUUUAUUAUGUAUACGUAUGACCCACGUUUACGCGUGCGAGUCUAGUAUGCUAUCAUUUGAAAGCAACGAACGUGACCGUAUCCUUUUAUUAUAUACGCACGCGUAUAUUUAUUCAUUAAAGGGACCGCUGUUUCUUUUUUUAAACCAGAGGAAGGUUACGGCAAUAACAGGUCUGUGAUGCCCUUCGAUGUUCCGGGCUGCACACGUGCUACAAUGAUUAUUUCAUUAAGUAUCUAUAUUACAAUGUGCAACAUUGUUUAACCUACCCUGAGAAUGGGCGGGUAAUCAAUUAGAAGUAAUGAUUUCCUUUUUUUUAUACGCAACUAUGUACCGUAUAUUACAUCCCAUAAUAUCUUUUUAUUAUGCGUGUGUGUUUUAUUACCGUGUACGCGUAAUUGUUAAUUCAUGGUGGGGAUAGACCAUUGUUAAUUGUUGGUCUCGGUCUUAACUAGGAAUGCCUUGUACGGGUCAUUGGUUCAACAAA